CACGUAGGGCGCAAGCGUUGUCCGGAAUUAUUGGGCGUAAAGAGCUCGUAGGUGGUUUGUUACGUCUGCUGUGAAAACCUAGGGCUUAACCCUGGGCUUGCAGUGGAUACGGGCAGACUAGAGGUAGGUAGGGGAGAAUGGAAUUCCUGGUGUAGCGGUGAAAUGCGUAGAUAUCGGGAGGAACACCAGUGGCGAAGGCGGCUCUCUGGGCAGAUACCGACGCUGAGACGCGAAAGCGUGGGAAGCAAACAGG
rnacentral:rRNA from 1 species